GUAACCUGCCUGUAAGACUGGGAUAACUCCGGGAAACCGGAGCUAAUACCGGAUAGUUCCUUGAACCGCAUGGUUCAAGGAUGAAAGACGGUUUCGGCUGUCACUUACAGAUGGACCCGCGGCGCAUUAGCUAGUUGGUGGGGUAAUGGCUCACCAAGGCGACGAUGCGUAGCCGACCUGAGAGGGUGAUCGGCCACACUGGGACUGAGACACGGCCCAGACUCCUACGGGAGGCAGCAGUAGGGAAUCUUCCGCAAUGGACGAAAGUCUGACGGAGCAACGCCGCGUGAGUGAUGAAGGUUUUCGGAUCGUAAAGCUCUGUUGUUAGGGAAGAACAAGUGCGAGAGUAACUGCUCGCACCUUGACGGUACCUAACCAGAAAGCCACGGCUAACUACGUGCCAGCAGCCGCGGUAAUACGUAGGUGGCAAGCGUUGUCCGGAAUUAUUGGGCGUAAAGGGCUCGCAGGCGGUUUCUUAAGUCUGAUGUGAAAGCCCCCGGCUCAACCGGGGAGGGUCAUUGGAAACUGGGAAACUUGAGUGCAGAAGAGGAGAGUGGAAUUCCACGUGUAGCGGUGAAAUGCGUAGAGAUGUGGAGGAACACCAGUGGCGAAGGCGACUCUCUGGUCUGUAACUGACGCUGAGGAGCGAAAGCGUGGGGAGCGAACAGG
rnacentral:rRNA from 1 species